AUGACCUAGAAAGGGUAUGAUCUUCUCAGAGCCUGCUUCUGCUAUAACUUUUUCUCAACCUGAGGCCUCUCUUUCUGGGCAGUGCUCAUUCAUUUCAAAGUGAGAAAAACUGAUGAAAUGGCUGUCCUGUGCCCCUCUUCCCCA